CAUGGCAGCCCCCCUUCACUGCCUCUGGCCUUCGGGGACUCGAAACCUCCUGCUGGGGACCCCUCCUCCAGUGGCUGGGGGUGACGCAGCCCGGGCCCGCCACCUUCCUGCCGUCGGGUCUCACAAAACGCCAACGGCCUCUUGCCCCUUGUCCGAAGAGCCUGCGGCGGCCUGACAACCUCUCAGCAGUCCCACUGAAGACAAAAUAGGUGCCCUAGCCGGAGGGACGCCCUUCCCGACUCCCACACCACGCCAGGAGCCUCCCCGGGCAGGGUGUGACUGACUGACCCAUGCACGGCUGACUGCUCCCCACUGCAGACACCGGUGUUACAGUCAAGGGCCCUGUUCCUAAGGCUUCGUGACAAAGACGUGAAGACUGAUGGAGGCAGCUGCCGACAGCCAGCAAGGGGUCUUCCCGAAGGUUUGCUCCGGUCUAACUGUGCUGAGCAGGGGAAGCCCACGGGCUGGGGGCCACCUGCCACCCCACUUCAGGCUCCUGGGAGAGGUGGAGGCUGGGUCUGAACCCCCAAGGCGGCUGGAGAUUUGCGUCUCGUCCCCUCCAGAUGCAGACGGUGUAGACGGGGCACCACCCCCGCCCAGCAGGACCUUCCGGGUGGCCUCUGGGUUCCUGCCGUCAGCCCCGCCCUCUCGGUUCCAAGGCUCAUGCAUUCGCCCUGAGAUUGGGCAUUUCCUGGAAUUUCUAGACUGGAAUCCGCCCUCCUCCUCCGUGUGCAUCAGGCCCGCCCUCCCCCACGCCGCGCCGGCCUCACCGAUGCCAGAGAGGUGUUGCCGCGGCUCGACGCAGCGGUCCGAGGGCCACCUCGCGGGAAACGGGGCCUCGGACCAUCUCUGCUCGAAAACUUGGCAGCGCUUGGUCGCUAUUUGAGGGCUUUUCUGUAAGCAUCUGCUUGCCUAAUUCACAUUCCUCCUCCCUCUGCCUCGACGCUCAAAUACUUUGAGAACAACCCAAAAAUAAAAAUUAGUCCUUUUCCAGCUAA